AGUGAACGCUGGCGGUAGGCCUAACACAUGCAAGUCGAACGGCAGCACAGUAAGCGCUUGCUCUUACGGGUGGCGAGUGGCGGACGGGUGAGGAAUACAUCGGAAUCUACUUUUUCGUGGGGGAUAACGUAGGGAAACUUACGCUAAUACCGCAUACGACCUACGGGUGAAAGCAGGAGAUCUUCGGACCUUGCGCGAUUGAAUGAGCCGAUGUCGGAUUAGCUAGUUGGCAGGGUAAAGGCCCACCAAGGCGACGAUCCGUAGCUGGUCUGAGAGGAUGAUCAGCCACACUGGAACUGAGACACGGUCCAGACUCCUACGGGAGGCAGCAGUGGGGAAUAUUGGACAAUGGGCGCAAGCCUGAUCCAGCCAUACCGCGUGGGUGAAGAAGGCCUUCGGGUUGUAAAGCCCUGUUGUUGGGAAAGAAAAGCAGCAGGUGAAUACCCCGCUGUUCUGACGGUACCCAAAGAAUAAGCACCGGCUAACUUCGUG
rnacentral:rRNA from 1 species